CGGCAAGCCUGAUCCAGCCAUGCCGCGUGAGUGAAGAAGGCCUUCGGGUUGUAAAGCUCUUUCGGCCGGGAAGAAAUCGCACAGGUUAAUACCCUGUGUGGAUGACGGUACCGGAAUAAGAAGCACCGGCUAACUACGUGCCAGCAGCCGCGGUAAUACGUAGGGUGCGAGCGUUAAUCGGAAUUACUGGGCGUAAAGCGUGCGCAGGCGGUUUUGUAAGACAGGCGUGAAAUCCCCGGGCUCAACCUGGGAACUGCGUUUGUGACUGCAAGGCUAGAGUAUGGCAGAGGGGGGUGGAAUUCCACGUGUAGCAGUGAAAUGCGUAGAGAUGUGGAGGAACACCGAUGGCGAAGGCAGCCCCCUGGGCCAAUACUGACGCUCAUGCACGAAAGCGUGGGUAGCAAACAGGAUUAGAUACCCUGGUAGUCCACGCCCUAAACGAUGUCAACUAGGUGUUGGGAGGGUAAAACCUUUUAGUACCGGAGCUAACGCGUGAAGUUGACCGCCUGGGGAGUACGGCCGCAAGGUUAAAAACUCAAAGGAAUUGACGGGGAC
rnacentral:rRNA from 1 species